AAAUGAACGCUGGCGGCGUGCUUAACACAUGCAAGUCGAACGAGAAAUCUAUCACUUGUGGUAGAGAGUAAAGUGGCGAACGGGUGAGUAACACGUGGGUAAUCUGCCUUUAAGAUCAGGAUAACAUUUCGAAAGAUAUGCUAAAACCGAAUAUACUUUUUGAAGACUUAGGUAAUUAAGAAGGAAAUGUGGCCACUACAAGUAAGCUACAGCUUAGAGAGGAGCUCGCGUACCAUUAGUUAGUUGGUAAGGUAAAGGCUUACCAAGGCAUCGAUGGUUAGCUGGUCUGAGAGGAUGAUCAGCCACACUGGAACUGAAACACGGUCCAGACUCCUACGGGAGGCAGCAGUGAGGAAUUUUGCGCAAUGGGGGAAACCCUGACGCAGCAACGCCGCGUGAGUGAUGAAGGCCUUUUUGGUCGUAAAACUCUGUCAAGUGGGGAGAAACUAUAUUGUAGUAAAAUGAUAAUAUACUGACGGUACCACUGAAGGAAGCACCGGCUAACUCCGUGCCAGCAGCCGCGGUAAUACGGAGGGUGCGGGCGUUAUUCGGAAUUAUUGGGCGUAAAGAGCGCGUAGGCGGUUUUUAAAGUCAGAUGUGAAAGCCCGGAGCUUAACUUCGGAAGUGCAUUUGAAACUAAAAGACUUGAGUAUGGUAGAGGGAAGUGGAAUUCCUGGUGAAGAGGUGAAAUUCGUAGAUAUCAGGAGGAACACCGGUGGCGAAGGCGACUUUCUGGACCAAUACUGACGCUGAGGCGCGAAAGCGUGGGUAGCAAACAGGAUUAGAUACCCUGGUAGUCCACGCAGUAAACGGUGAACACUAGGUGUAGUGGGUAUUGACCCCUACUGUGCCGGAGCUAACGCAUUAAGUGUUCCGCCUGGGGAGUACGGCCGCAAGGUUAAAACUCAAAGGAAUUGACGGGGGCCCGCACAAGCGGUGGAGCAUGUGGUUUAAUUCGACGCAACGCGAAGAACCUUACCUGGGUUUAACAUCCCAAGUCAGCUUUUGAAAGAGAGCUUUGUCCUUCGGGAAACUUGGAGAUAGGUGCUGCAUGGCUGUCGUCAGCUCGUGUCGUGAGAUGUUGGUUAAGUCCCGCAACGAGCGCAACCCUCAUCUUUAGUUACCAUCAUUAAGUUGGGGACUCUAAAGAUACUGCCCCGGUUAACGGGGAGGAAGGUGGGGAUGACGUCAAGUCCUCAUGGCCCUUAUGUCCAGGGCUACACACGUGCUACAAUGGAUUGUACAAAGAGUCGCGACCCUGUGAAGGAGAGCUAAUCUCAAAAAGCAAUUCUCAGUUCGGAUUGAAGUCUGCAACUCGACUUCAUGAAGUUGGAAUCGCUAGUAAUCGUGGAUCAGCAUGCCACGGUGAAUACGUUCCCGGGCCUUGUACACACCGCCCGUCACACCAUGAGAGUUGGUUGUACCAGAAGGUGCUGGACUAACUUGCAAAAGAGGUAGGUACCUAAGGUAUGGCUGAUGAUUGGGGUGAAGUCGUAACAAGGUA
rnacentral:rRNA from 1 species